UACGUAGGGGGCAAGCGUUAUCCGGAAUUACUGGGUGUAAAGGGUGCGUAGGCGGUAAUGUAAGUCAGGUGUGAAAGCCCGAAGCUCAACUUCGGGAUUGCACUUGAAACUACAUAACUAGAGUACAGGAGAGGUGAGUGGAAUUCCUAGUGUAGCGGUGAAAUGCGUAGAUAUUAGGAGGAACACCAGUGGCGAAGGCGACUCACUGGACUGUAACUGACGCUGAGGCACGAAAGCGUGGGUAGCGAACAGGAUUAGAUACCCUGGUAGUCCACGCCGUAAACGAUGAAUGCUAGGUGUCGGCUCGUCAAGGGUCGGUGCCGAAGUAAACACAUUAAGCAUUCCACCUGGGGAGUACGUACGCAAGUAUAAA
rnacentral:rRNA from 1 species